CAAACCUUUGUGUGAGAAACUAAAAAGGCAAUGGCCCUGACCUUGGGGAGCUGACCUUCUGGGGGGGGGGCAGUAACGUGUAGAUACAAAACUGUCAUCUCUGGACUCUGCUAAGACCCAUCAGGACCCAUUGGGCCAAUCAGUAGCCUCUCCAUGAUGAUGGCAUCAGAGGUGGGUGACCACUUGAACACUCUUCCCAGAUAACCCAAGACCCAGCCUGCUGAGGCUGUCCUGAGUUGGUUGUGGGCUUGUCCUCUUGCCUGGCCACCCCAGUCCUGGAGGUGGGGCAUCGUGAUGGCUUCUGGUGGAGAGAAGCCCCCUGCUACCUUCCCCAUCACUCAGGAGAUGCCCCUUCUGAGAAGGGAAGUUUGAAGAACAAAGGACCCCACCAAGGCGCCGCUCCCCCUCCAGACUCCCACUGAAGCCUCUUCCUCCUACUGCCCUGCCCCAAACAUGAUUGUGCCCAAGGCCAGCCUUGCUUGCAGCCUUCCCUUGCUGAUGCUGCCCCUUCCUUGUGCUGCGAUCCCUGCUGACUCGCUCAGCCUCAAGUCUUCCGCUAACAAAGGCCUCCUCUUCUGAGUGUCUCCAGCUGCCUUGAAGUCACUUCUAAAUUCUCCAACUACUGUGAUGGACCAGAAUCGAUCCAGUGAGCGAUUGGAGCCCUGGGACAGGGGAAUGGCGGUGAUGUCUAGGAGGUCGCCGGAGACGUAGGCAUGGGAAUUAGGAGAGCGGGCAGCCCGAUGGAUUGGGGAUCUCCCUAGAGGGGCCUGGCACAGUGCUAACCAAGCCCUGGGGACCCGAAGACAAGACCAAAGAAUCUUUGCUGGCAAAGAGCGCCCACUUUACCAGCUGUGGGAGUGGAGAACAACGAGAGGGAAGAAUGGAAGCCAGCAGAAGUUGGGGGGAGAAGAGCGAGAGUAAGAAUAAGAGUGUUGUCUGGAAACGACUCCUCGGGAGCAGGGGUUCUUUCAUUUCUGUUUGUCUUCAUGUAUGUAGAGCCUGGCUAUUGCCUGACACACAGUAGUUGGUUCCUGA